rnacentral:rRNA from 1 species
CAUUAUCGAGUCUUGGACGGGUUGUAGCUGGCCUCUCUCGAGGCACGUGCACGCCUGGCUCAUCCACUCUUAACCUCUGUGCACUACUUGUAGGAUCGGUGCAGGCUGGCGCAAGCUGGUCGGCGUCGGUUCUAUGUUUUCACCACAAAUGUCUCAGUUACAGAAUGUCAGCUUGCGCUUGGCGCAACGAAUACAACUUUCAGCAACGGAUCUCUUGGCUCUCGCAUCGAUGAAGAACGCAGCGAAAUGCGAUAAGUAAUGUGAAUUGCAGAAUUCAGUGAAUCAUCGAAUCUUUGAACGCACCUUGCGCUCCUUGGUAUUCCGAGGAGCAUGCCUGUUUGAGUCUCAUGGAAUCUUCAACCAUUUGGAUUUGUUUCCAGGUGGCUUGGACUUGGAGGUUGUGUCGGCCGUCGUGGUCGACUCCUCUCAAACGCAUCAGCGCGAACCUUGCGGAUCGACCUCGGCAUGAUAAUUGUCUGCGCCGUGGUCGAGAGGCGUCUAUGUUCUUGCUUCCAACCGUCCGUGAGGACAUGUCAUGACAUCUGAGCUCAAAUCAGGCAGGACUACCCGCGAACUAAU